ACGGUUUCUAAAGGAUUGGUUUCGGCUAUCACUUCGAGGAUGGGCCGCGGUGCAUUAGCUAGUUGGUAAGGUAACGGCUUACCAAGGCAAUGAUGCAUAGCCGAGUUGAGAGACUGAUCGGCCACAAUGGAACUGAGACACGGUCCAUACUCCUACGGGAGGCAGCAGUAGGGAAUCUUCCACAAUGGGCGCAAGCCUGAUGGAGCAACACCGCGUGAGUGAAGAAGGGUUUCGGCUCGUAAAGCUCUGUUGUUGGAGAAGAACGUGCGUGAGAGUAACUGUUCACGCAGUGACGGUAUCCAACCAGAAAGUCACGGCUAACUACGUGCC
rnacentral:rRNA from 1 species